ensembl:lncRNA TPRXL tetrapeptide repeat homeobox like (pseudogene)
GAUUUUUUGUAUAAGGUGAGAGAUGAGGAUCCAGUUUUGGUCUCCUACACGUGGCUAGCCAAUUAUCCCAGCACCAUUUGUGGAAAAGGAUGCCCUUUCCCCACUUUAUGAUUUUGUUUGCUUUGUUGAAGAUCAGUUGGCUACAGAGUCUUGCCCUGUUGCCCAGGCUGGAGUAUAGUAGUGCAGUGGUGUGAUCAUAGCUCACUGUAACUUCGACCACCUGGGCUCAAACAAUCCUUCUUCCUCUGCCUCCCAAGUAGCUGGGACUACAGAGCAGGACCCAGGAUGCAAGACCCUAGGCAUCCCCAAGGCCUUCCACUGUCCCCAGGCCUUCCAAAGAGACAGCGGCAGGACCGCACAAUCUACAACUGGAAACAGCAGGAAGUGCUAGAAAAUCACUUUAAGGAG